rnacentral:rRNA from 1 species
AUUGAACGCUGGCGGAAUGCUUUACACAUGCAAGUCGAACGGCAGCACGGGGGCAACCCUGGUGGCGAGUGGCGAACGGGUGAGUAAUACAUCGGAACGUGCCCAGUCGUGGGGGAUAACGUAGCGAAAGUUACGCUAAUACCGCAUACGAUCUACGGAUGAAAGCGGGGGAUCGCAAGACCUCGCGCGAUUGGAGCGGCCGAUGUCAGAUUAGGUAGUUGGUGGGGUAAAGGCUCACCAAGCCAACGAUCUGUAGCUGGUCUGAGAGGACGACCAGCCACACUGGGACUGAGACACGGCCCAGACUCCUACGGGAGGCAGCAGUGGGGAAUUUUGGACAAUGGACGAAAGUCUGAUCCAGCCAUUCCGCGUGCAGGACGAAGGCCUUCGGGUUGUAAACUGCUUUUGUACGGAACGAAAAAGCCUUGGCUAAUACCCAGGGUCCAUGACGGUACCGUAAGAAUAAGCACCGGCUAACUACGUGCC